rnacentral:rRNA from 1 species
CCUACGGGAGGCAGCAACUAGGAAUUAUGUGCAAUGGGCGAAAGCCUGACACUGCGACAUCGCGUGGAGGAUGAAGGUCUUAGGAUCGUAAACUCCUUUUAUUGGGGAACGUGUACCCAAUGAAUAAGUGCCUGCCAACCACGUGCCAGAAGCAUCGGUAAUACGUGGGACACAAGCGUUAUCCGGAUUUACUGGGCGUAAAGAGAGCGUAGGUGACUUAAUAAGUUCUGUGUUAAAGCCUAAUGCUCACCAUUAGAAGCGCGCAGAAAACUAUUUUGAUUGAGUUAAGUAGGGAGAAGGGGAAUUCCUGGUGGAGCGGUUAAAUGCGUUGAUAUCAGGAGGAACACCAAUAGCGAAGGCACCUUCUUGGCUAUACUGACACUAAGGCUCGAAAGCGUGGGGAGCAAAACGGAUUAGAUACCCUUGUAGUC